rnacentral:rRNA from 1 species
UACGUAGGGGGCUAGCGUUGUCCGGAGUCACUGGGCGUAAAGGGUUCGCAGGCGGAAUUUCAAGUCAGAUGUAAAAGGCAGUAGCUUAACUAUUGUAAGCAUUUGAAACUGCAUAUCUUGAGAAGAGGAGAGGUAAGUGGAAUUCUCAGUGUAGCGGUGAAAUGCGUAGAUAUUUAAAAGAAUACCGGUGGCGAAGGCGACUUACUGGGCUGUUUCUGACGCUGAGGCACGAAAGCGUGGGUAGCAAACAGG